GUGCCAGCAGCCGCGGUAAUACAGAGGUGGCAAGCGUUGUUCGGAUUCAUUGGGCGUAAAGGGUCCGUAGGCGGUUCGGAAAGUCGGGUGUGAAAUCCUACAGCUUAACUGUAGAACUGCAUUCGAAACUCCCGGACUAGAGUGUGAGAGGGGUGAAGGGAAUUCCCAGUGUAAGGGUGAAAUCUGCAGAGAUUGGGAAGAACACCAGUCGCGAAGGCGCUUCACUGGCUCACUACUGACGCUCAGGGACGAAAGCUAGGGGAGCAAACGGGAUUAGAUACCCGCGUAGUCC
rnacentral:rRNA from 1 species